UCUCCUAGGUCCACAACAUGAGUAAUUAGACAGCGCGGCCUUCAGCCAGUUCAGGAGGAACGCGUAACGCAAUCAUUUCUAGUGUCUCACCGAGGUCACGUAUCAGUCGUGCUGGAAAACUACCGCGGACCGGAAAAGCUGUUUUUUUUUCGCGCAUGCGCUCUACAUCCGGGAGCUGAUUGUUGCAUAAGCUAGAGAAAGGUUAGAGGAGUAGAUCGACGUGAAAUACGGCCAGAGUUACUAGAUAAAUAUCUAUUUAUCGAAGUGCGACGAUAGCGCACCGAGUGUCUUGUCCGCCAUAUUGGAAGAGGAAUGUGAAAAUCGCAGAGUACUACCAUCGAGGUUGAAUUCGGGACACAAGUUGACUUUGCGAAGUAAACAACCUAAACAAAAGCCUCCUCGCAGUUUCCGUUCCAUCCGCUAUACAAAAUACUAACCAAAAAAACAGAUAAUGUUCAAAGUUACUCCAUGUAGUUACCUUUUUACUGGUAACUUAUAUAAAUCCCAUAUCAUGACAAAUCUUUGCACGAUUCCAACUUCUCCCCAGUAUACUUUAUCCGAUCGUCUCGGAAUGUAGUAGUGCGUAUAAGUUGUUCAAAUCGCUUUACUAAUAAACAAUGUCAACACGUUUGCUCGUUGCCCUACUUAGUUCUGCGAUAAACAAAAUCGAGUCGAAUGGACAAAACGCUCUCUAAUCCGCCAUCUUGAAAUCUGGUGGGAAUAUGGUUGAGAGCGAGAGAGACUGAACCUCAAUGUUUUGAUCGAUGACGUCAGACUAUUGUAUUCACAUUCCUCCUGAACUGGCUGAAGACCGCACUGUUAGAGGGUUCCAUUGAGCAUGCAAGUUUUUCCA